GGUCCCAUAGCUCAGUUGGUUAGAGCACCUGGCUUUUAAUCAGGGUGUCGAAGGUUCAAGUCCUUCUGGGAUCACCA
rnacentral:tRNA from 1 species